AUCCAGACUCCUACGGGAGGCAGCAGUGGGGAAUAUUGCACAAUGGGGGAAACCCUGAUGCAGCGACGCCGCAUGAGCGAUGAAGUAUUUCGGUAUGUAAAGCUCUAUCAGCAGGGAAGAAAAUGACGGUACCUGACUAAGAAGCCCCGGCUAACUACGUGCCAGCAGCCGCGGUAAUACGUAGGGGGCAAGCGUUAUCCGGAUUUACUGGGUGUAAAGGGAGCGUAGACGGCUGUGCAAGCCAGAUGUGAAAGCCCGGGGCUCAACCCCGGGACUGCAUUUGGAACUGUGUGGCUGGAGUGUCGGAGAGGCAGGCGGAAUUCCUAGUGUAGCGGUGAAAUGCGUAGAUAUUAGGAGGAACACCAGUGGCGAAGGCGGCCUGCUGGACGAUGACUGACGUUGAGGCUCGAAAGCGUGGGGAGCAAACAGGAUUAGAUACCCCCGUAA
rnacentral:rRNA from 1 species